UAAUCUUGAAAGAGAAGACAUAGAAUGUAAAUAAUAACGAUAGAAUCGGGUUGAGGAAUGGCAGCCACCCCUGCAGCAGCUCCUCUGACGGCUCUCAGCCCAGUGCCGAGCCCAGGCUGCAAAGACCUUUGAGUUCCAUUUGAAAAAUACCAAGCUCUUACUUCUCUGCUUCCUUUAGAAAUGCAUAAAACAGCUUCUCUCACCGUUCUUUUCGUACAUGCUGCCAGACUGGUACGAGAUUGGGGGAAAAGUCACUCCGCUUGUGCAAAGGUGACAGUCACAAGGGUUGUAGAGUGGUGACCUCGCCUGGCUCACUACGUGCCAUCCAGCCUGUAAUCACUGCGCAUGGAGGCGGGGUUGGGGGGUGCUGGCCAGGCGCACAUCCCGCCUCCUGUUUACAGAGCCUUUCUGACGUCACAUGUAAAUUCACAUCCCGUGAGUCCCUUUCCUGCCGUCCCUGGCAUGGUUAUUCAACACUGGGGCAUACUCUGUGUUAUAAGAAAAAUGUAGAGAACAAGAUGGAUUUGAUAGCUUAGCUCUUUGAAUAUUUCAAGUCUAUAUCAACUAAAACGUAGGCCUCCUGCGUCAGCUGCUUGGGGCCAGGAAGGAGUGAAUGGGUCCCACGGCACUCAGGUGCAAGAAUUGUCGCAUUAUGCUUCUAAAUCAAAGGUCAUCUGGCUUUGGUGUCCUGCAGGACAAGGUGGGAGGCAAUGUCAGCCACUAUAAGGUAGCUUUGUCCCUCCAACUCUCCAUCCGAGAGACUGGAACAGAGGAAGGGGUCUCGUUUCUAGGGUACAGCAGCCGCUCCCUUUCCCUGGCCUCUCGGCUGAGCACCGCGUCGUCAUGGGCCCUGGGGGUCCCAGAGCCUCUCCAGAGUUCUCCAAGGACUUGGCCCCAGAAGACCCAGAUGUCCCCCUCAAAGUCAAGCAGGCUUACAGCAAAAUCCCCCAGCUCCUAUUAUGGGUGGUCUUCUGCUUGGCUUCCGAGGCCGCUGCCCACUGUCUUCCCCAGAAAACUACGCACAGGACCUAGCAACGGAGCCCUCGUUCAGCAUGGGCCCUGAGCCUGCUCCAUUCAGCUCACCAUAUUGCUGCUUCUCCAUUGUCUCUUCUAACGUCCAGUCUGGGGAAGGCCAAGAUCACUUCCUCUCCCACAGGCUCUGCCCUCCACUUUCUCAGACCGCUCUCAGAAUGUUUGAAGAUGUUCAAAAUGGGGGGAAAGCAGCGAGACCGUUUUAUCAGCAUAUGAUUGGUCCAAAAAGAAAAGAGGAUACUGCUAAGUUUCUCAUCUAUACAGGAUGCAGACAUUGAAUGUUUUCGCUUUCUUGUGCUUUUUUUUACUCUCACAUAUUGGGAACGCCUUAUUCUUUCUGGCCCUGUUUCAUAUCUGUGUUUCGAUCUCUGUGAAUUCUCAAGAAUGCAGUGCUACUACAUGAGUCACACUUGAACAACCCUAAAACAAAUAAGUAAACAAAAAGCUUCAGAAAGCUCACACACUUGUUAUUACCUGAAAUUGAUGUGGGUAUAGACUGACAUCCUACCAACCAACGCAGAAUAGGCUGAUGAAAAGAAGCAUUCGUUGUUUGCAAAAGUUUCGCCAGCCAGAACACAACACAAAACUUUCUUUGGGUUGCAAUGAAUCACCUAAGUCAGGAAACAAAGUGAUUUUAACGAGUAAUAAUCACAAUGCCUUAUCUUACUUGUAAUAUUUACAAAAUGUUCUUGACAUCACCAAGGCCACAGCCCUAGAAAGAGGAGGGAGAGCGGACAUGGG
rnacentral:lncRNA from 1 species